GGGGGCUAUGCUGCCUACAGGUAUACUCAGCCUGCUGCCGCCACAGCAGCUGCUGCAUUCGGUGACAGUUACGGACCAGUAUAUGCUGCGGACCCCUACAACCACCCACUUGCUCCAGCAGCCACAUACAGCAUUGGUGCCAUGAAUCCGUUUGCCCCGUUGGCUGAUGCCAAGACGAGGAGUCAUGCUGACGACGUGGGGCUGGUGUUGUCCUCCCUGCAGGCUAGUAUAUACAGGGGAGGCUACAGCCGCUUCGCCCCAUACUAACCCACCAACCAACCUCCCUAAAACCAUACAACAACCAAUCCUUUCUGACAGGGAUACAACCGAGCAACCAACCAACCUCCCUAUAACCAUACAACAACCAAUCCUUUCUGACAGGGAUACAACCGAGCAACCAACCAACCAACCUCCCUAUAACCAUACAACAACCAAUUACUACCCUACCAACCAACCAACCUCCCCACAACCAGACAACAACCAAUCCUUUCUGACAGGGAUACAACCGAGCAACCAACCAACCAACCUCCCUAUAACCAUACAACAACCAAUUACUACCCUACCAACCAACCAACCUCCCCACAACCAGACAACAACCAAUCCUUUCUGACAGGGACACAAUCGAGCAACCAACCAACCAACCAACCGACCGACCAACCGACCAACCAACAAACCAGUAUGUGAGUGAGACAGACAGAGAGACAGAGAGAGACACAGAGAAAGAACUUUGAGGCCUGGGUAUUGCAAUAUAUGCUGUUGAUCAUGAUUUUAGCAGCUCCUAAGAGAGAGAGAAGUCAGUCAACUAAAGAAGGACAUUUAUACCUCAGAUAUUGUGUGCUGUUAAUUUUGAUACAGUGGGUUUUUAAUUUGUAAAGGUUAGUAGAUUGUCCGUGUCGGUAGAGCUAUAGAAGAGCUACUAGAUUUAAAACCUUACCAUUGUAAAACAACACAUUUCAACUGUUAGGGCUUCGUGAAAAGACAAAACCAAUCCUGUAAAAUACAUCGUAGAAUGUGAUCCCGUUUUGUAAGAGUGUUUACAUGAUUGUAGGGUUCGGAUUCCUUUGACAUUCUCUCUGUCAGCGUCUACGUUGUUUCCUAGCUACUGGGGUUAGGAUUAGGAACGGGGUUAAAGUUAAGGACUGGGCAAGUGUUAGAGUUAGAAUCAGGUUAGGAUUAGGGUUAAGGUUGGGAUCAGGUUAGGAUUAGGGUUAGGAUUAGGGUUAAGGUUGGAGCUAGGUUAGGGUUAAGGUUGGGGUUAGGUUAGGAUUAGGGUUAAGGUUGGGAUUAGUUUAGGUUAGGAUUGGGGUUAAAGUUAAGGACUGGGCAAGUGUUAUGGUUAGGAUCAGGUUAGGAUUAGGGUUAAGGUUGGGGUUAGGUUAGGUCAGGAUUGGGGUUAAAGUUAAGGACUGGCCAAGUGUUAUAGUUAGGAUCAGGUUAGGAUUAGGGUUAAUUUUGGGAUUAGGUUAGGAUUAGGGUUGAGGUUAGGUUAGGGCUGAAGCUCAGGGUGAGGAUUAAGGUUAGGGUUGGGGAGGUGUGGGUAAAAUGGGGUACUAGAAAGGCACAAAGGUUGCAAGAUCGAGUCCCCCUGCAGACAAGGUAAAAAUCUGUCGCUCUACCCCUGAAGAAGGCAGUUAACCCACUGUUCCUAGGCCGUCAUUGUAAAUAAGAAUUUGUUCUUAACUGACUUGCCUAGUUAAGUAAAGUUAAAAUAGAAAUUAGACCAGGUGAUGGAAUAGAGAGAGAUGGAGGGGAGUAGUUGUGUGGGAUGGUGUGUAGUCGACAGCGUGCUAAACAGCGAGGACGUUGAUGUGUGGAUUAGAUCAUGAUGGUUGUGAUUGUCACCGUUUAUCACUCAAAGCCAAAGGUUCAGAUGCUCCCGGUGUUUUCCAUCUGUCUGUGCAGUCAGAUUUUUACAGAGAAUAACUUAUUAUGGUUAGAGGACAGAGAGUCUGCUUCCCAAAC